rnacentral:rRNA from 1 species
CUCUACAGCCAUGCCACCCUGAACAAGCCUGAUCCGUCUGAUCUUGGAAGCUAAGCAGGGUCGGGCCUGGUUAGUACUUGGAUGGGAGACCACCUAGGAAGACUGGGUGCUGUGGGCG